GCAACCCUUGUCCUCUGUUGCCAUCACGUUAUGGUGGGCACUCUGAGGAGACUGCCGGUGAUAAACCGGAGGAAGGUGGGGAUGACGUCAAGUCAGCAUGGCCUUUAUGUCUGGGGCUACACACGUGCUACAAUGGCCGGUACAAAGCGUCGCAAACUCGCGAGGGGGAGCUAAUCGCAGAAAGCCGGUCUCAGUUCGGAUUGUAGGCUGCAGGGAGACCUGCAUGAAGUCGGAAUCGCUAGUAAUCGCGGAUCAGCAUGCCGCGGUGAAUACGUUCCCGGGCCUUGUCUUCACCGCCCGUCACAUCACGAAAGCCGGCUGCACUAGAACUCUCCAUGCUAACCCGCAAGGGGAGCAGGCGCCUAAGGUA
rnacentral:rRNA from 1 species